GGGGCUCAGAAACCCCUACAGGAAAACACCAUCUCCACCAAGCCCCUCAUUCAUAAAACACACACACACACACACACCACACACACACACACCACACACACACACACACACACACCAGGGAGAAGAAGACUACAGAACACACACAGAAUCCACAGUCACUCCUCCCAAUAACUCAUCAAAAUGAGUACCAUUACCUCUUUUUACAGAGCAGUAAACUGAGGCUUGGGAAACGUAAUUUCUCCAACCCACGCAGUAACUAACAAAGCCACAGUUUGAUUAAGCUUUCUCAGACUACAGAAACCAUGUUGCCUCCCCACGAUAAAGGAAAAAAAAAAAAAAUAAGUGCACACAACUGUUCUGGCCUCCGUAGCCCACACCCCUCUCAUUUCACUACUUAAUAUUCAAAUGCAGAGAAUUUCCGCACUGGAGAAUCAAAAGCCCAGAGAUUUUCCCUAGAAGGCCUCAGAGCUUGAUUUUUCACAAAUGGCCCCAAGGAUGGAAAAAGUCUUCCAAAUUGAGACUGGCAAGAGAGCGGGACCCAUUUUGUCUGAUUUUUCUUCUCUCCUUUCUUGGCACUAGUAGGCUCAGCUCACGCCAAUGGAAAAUUCCCAAGUGCCAAGCAGUUCUCAAAUAAUCUGCACGCAAAACAAAACAAAACCAAAAAAAAAAAAAAGCCUUUCAACAGAGAUAGCUCAUGAGGGGUUAAGCCGAGGCUCCAGCCAAAACAUAGAUUUUUUUCAGAUUCUUGACAUCUUUUUCAUGUUGAUCAGGAGGUUUGUGCCCAGCCACAGCCUAUGAUGGCCUCAGUCUGUCACUGAGACCAGUACUGGGUCAGACCAGAGCCUGCCUUUGGACUCAAGAGGGUCCCAGGUCCAGAUAGUUUGACCUCUACCAGGCCUGGGCCUGGAAAUUCCGUGUGGGAAAGGACAGGGGCUGCCUGGGAGGGUUGAGGAAGAAGGGUCUGUGCUGGCUUGGACUCAAGGACGACAGAUAGAUGGACAGAGGUGGAAUCCGGAGAGGGUGAGAAAGAAGGAGCGAGAUACUGACUGUCGAGGAGUCCCUAUAUAUAACCUAGAAGACAAAAUCUGGUAUAGAAUGCUCUAUUCAUAAGACAAAAGAUGUAUUAAUCCUAUCUCGUGCAAUCAUAUUAACAACAACAUUUGUAUAUAUUCAUUUAGACAGUAUUUAUUAAGCACCUAAGCAUCAGGCAAGAAUUUGACAAUGAGCAGAGCAGCCUAGGUGCCUACUGGCAGAGAGCUUUCAUCCUUACCAUGGAGACAUGCCGUAAAAAUGACAGUGACGUAGUGAACUUCAGUGCUAUUUAAGGGACGAUGGGAGCACAUAAGACAGGGAAAUCUGAUGUUUAUUUGGAGCUGACGUUUUUGCAAAACAUGCUCCCCCACUGCAGUUCUUAAUCUUCUAAAAAAAAAAAAAAAAA
rnacentral:lncRNA from 1 species